rnacentral:rRNA from 1 species
UACACAAAAAUGCACAUAUUGUGAGCUCGAUGAGUAGGGCGGGACACGUGGUAUCCUGUCUGAAUAUGGGGGGACCAUCCUCCAAGGCUAAAUACUCCUGACUGACCGAUAGUGAACCAGUACCGUGAGGGAAAGGCGAAAAGAACCCCGGCGAGGGGAGUGAAAAAGAACCUGAAACCGUGUACGUACAAGCAGUGGGAGCCUCUUUAUGGGGUGACUGCGUACCUUUUGUAUAAUGGGUCAGCGACUUAUAUUCUGUAGCAAGGUUAACCGAAUAGGGGAGCCGAAGGGAAACCGAGUCUUAACUGGGCGUUAAGUUGCAGGGUAUAGACCCGAAACCCGGUGAUCUAGCCAUGGGCAGGUUGAAGGUUGGGUAACACUAACUGGAGGACCGAACCGACUAAUGUUGAAAAAUUAGCGGAUGACUUGUGGCUGGGGGUGAAAGGCCAAUCAAACCGGGAGAUAGCUGGUUCUCCCCGAAAGCUAUUUAGGUAGCGCCUCGUGAAUUCAUCUCCGGGGGUAGAGCACUGUUUCGGCAAGGGGGUCAUCCCGACUUACCAACCCGAUGCAAACUGCGAAUACCGGAGAAUGUUAUCACGGGAGACACACGGCGGGUGCUAACGUCCGUCGUGAAGAGGGAAACAACCCAGACCGCCAGCUAAGGUCCCAAAGUCAUGGUUAAGUGGGAAACGAUGUGGGAAGGCCCAGACAGCCAGGAUGUUGGCUUAGAAGCAGCCAUCAUUUAAAGAAAGCGUAAUAGCUCACUGGUCGAGUCGGCCUGCGCGGAAGAUGUAACGGGGCUAAACCAUGCACCGAAGCUGCGGCAGCGACACUAUGUGUUGUUGGGUAGGGGAGCGUUCUGUAAGCCUGUGAAGGUGGCCUGUGAGGGUUGCUGGAGGUAUCAGAAGUGCGAAUGCUGACAUAAGUAACGAUAAAGCGGGUGAAAAGCCCGCUCGCCGGAAGACCAAGGGUUCCUGUCCAACGUUAAUCGGGGCAGGGUGAGUCGACCCCUAAGGCGAGGCCGAAAGGCGUAGUCGAUGGGAAACAGGUUAAUAUUCCUGUACUUGGUGUUACUGCGAAGGGGGGACGGAGAAGGCUAUGUUGGCCGGGCGACGGUUGUCCCGGUUUAAGCGUGUAGGCUGGUUUUCCAGGCAAAUCCGGAAAACCAAGGCUGAGGCGUGAUGACGAGGCACUACGGUGCUGAAGCGACAAAUGCCCUGCUUCCAGGAAAAGCCUCUAAGCAUCAGGUAACAUCAAAUCGUACCCCAAACCGACACAGGUGGUCAGGUAGAGAAUACCAAGGCGCUUGAGAGAACUCGGGUGAAGGAACUAGGCAAAAUGGUGCCGUAACUUCGGGAGAAGGCACGCUGAUAUGUAGGUGAAGCGACUUGCUCGUGGAGCUGAAAUCAGUCGAAGAUACCAGCUGGCUGCAACUGUUUAUUAAAAACACAGCACUGUGCAAACACGAAAGUGGACGUAUACGGUGUGACGCCUGCCCGGUGCCGGAAGGUUAAUUGAUGGGGUUAGCGGUAACGCGAAGCUCUUGAUCGAAGCCCCGGUAAACGGCGGCCGUAACUAUAACGGUCCUAAGGUAGCGAAAUUCCUUGUCGGGUAAGUUCCGACCUGCACGAAUGGCGUAAUGAUGGCCAGGCUGUCUCCACCCGAGACUCAGUGAAAUUGAACUCGCUGUGAAGAUGCAGUGUACCCGCGGCAAGACGGAAAGACCCCGUGAACCUUUACUAUAGCUUGACACUGAACAUUGAGCCUUGAUGUGUAGGAUAGGUGGGAGGCUUUGAAGUGUGGACGCCAGUCUGCAUGGAGCCGACCUUGAAAUACCACCCUUUAAUGUUUGAUGUUCUAACGUUGGCCCGUAAUCCGGGUUGCGGACAGUGUCUGGUGGGUAGUUUGACUGGGGCGGUCUCCUCCUAAAGAGUAACGGAGGAGCACGAAGGUUGGCUAAUCCUGGUCGGACAUCAGGAGGUUAGUGCAAUGGCAUAAGCCAGCUUGACUGCGAGCGUGACGGCGCGAGCAGGUGCGAAAGCAGGUCAUAGUGAUCCGGUGGUUCUGAAUGGAAGGGCCAUCGCUCAACGGAUAAAAGGUACUCCGGGGAUAACAGGCUGAUACCGCCCAAGAGUUCAUAUCGACGGCGGUGUUUGGCACCUCGAUGUCGGCUCAUCACAUCCUGGGGCUGAAGUAGGUCCCAAGGGUAUGGCUGUUCGCCAUUUAAAGUGGUACGCGAGCUGGGUUUAGAACGUCGUGAGACAGUUCGGUCCCUAUCUGCCGUGGGCGCUGGAGAACUGAGGGGGGCUGCUCCUAGUACGAGAGGACCGGAGUGGACGCAUCACUGGUGUUCGGGUUGUCAUGCCAAUGGCACUGCCCGGUAGCUAAAUGCGGAAGAGAUAAGUGCUGAAAGCAUCUAAGCACGAAACUUGC